GAUGAACGCUAGCUACAGGCUUAACACAUGCAAGUCGAGGGGCAGCGGGAUUGGAGCUUGCUUCAAUCGCCGGCGACCGGCGCACGGGUGAGUAACGCGUAUCCAACCUUCCGUUUACUCAGGGAUAGCCUUUCGAAAGAAAGAUUAAUACCUGAUGGCAUAGUUCUUCCGCAUGGUAGAACUAUUAAAGAAUUUCGGUUGUCGAUGGGGAUGCGUUCCAUUAGGCAGUUGGCGGGGUAACGGCCCACCAAACCUACGAUGGAUAGGGGUUCUGAGAGGAAGGUCCCCCACAUUGGAACUGAGACACGGCCCAGACUCCUACGGGAGGCAGCAGUGGGGAAUUUUGGACAAUGGGGGCAACCCUGAUCCAGCCAUGCCGCGUGCAGGAUGAAGGCCUUCGGGUUGUAAACUGCUUUUGUCAGGGACGAAAAGGAUCGUGAUAAUACCAUGGUCUGCUGACGGUACCUGAAGAAUAAGCACCGGCUAACUACGUG
rnacentral:rRNA from 1 species